rnacentral:rRNA from 1 species
UCGAGAAUCUUGGGCAAUGCGCGAAAGCGUGACCCAGCAAUGCCGCGUGUGUGAUGAAGGUCUUCGGAUUGUAAAACACUGUCUCCCGGGACGAAAAUUGACGGUACCGGGGAAGGAAGCCACGGCUAACUACGUGCCAGCAGCCGCGGUAAUACGUAGGUGGCGAGCGUUGUUCGGAUUUAUUGGGCGUAAAGGGUCUGUAGGAGGUUUGUUAAAUGCGGGGUGAAAUCCGGGAGCUCAACUCCCGAACUGCCUUGUAGACUGACAGACUAGGGUACUGGAGAGGUAAGCGGAAUACCAAGUGUAGCGGUGGAAUGCGUAGAUAUUUGGUAGAACACCAAUAGCGAAGGCAGCUUACUGGACAUUAACCGACUCUGAGAGACGAAAGCGUGGGGAGCAAACA